CACGUAGGGUGCAAGCGUUGUCCGGAUUCAUUGGGCGUAAAGGGCUAGUAGGCGGCUUGGCAAGUCGGGUGUGAAAACUUCAGGCUCAACCUGGAGCGGCCAUCCGAUACUGCUAUGGCUAGAGUCCGGUAGGGGACCACGGAAUUCCUGGUGUAGCGGUGAAAUGCGCAGAUAUCAGGAGGAACACCGGUGGCGAAGGCGGUGGUCUGGGCCGGAACUGACGCUGAAUAGCGAAAGCGUGGGUAGCGAACAGG
rnacentral:rRNA from 1 species